GCGGUCGUGGUGGAAUUGGCAGACACGCUACUUUGAGGGGGUAGUGGUCGUUAAGACCGUGCGAGUUCAAAUCUCGCCGACCGCA
rnacentral:tRNA from 1 species